AACAAGAACAGGACCAUGAAGCAAAGUGGAGUGAGUGUUUCAUCAGAGGGAACCUAAGACAUUUCCAAGGGGACUACAUUCCUCAUGCUAUAAGAUUUCAGGUGGUGGCUUUAAAGUUUAAAGGGACCAGCAUCGCUCUGGGAUUCUGGGCUGGGAAGAGGAGCUUACCACACCUCUUGGUUACAGGGAUACAUACUCACUCCCUCGCACUGAGCCACCAGAGAGCAGCUCCACCAGCCACUGCUGAAACAGGAGGUGGUGUUAAUUUUGAAAAUGAUCCAUGCUGUAAUGUCAUGAACCAGGAAGCUGGAAUCCUUUACCAGUUCUUUAUGCAAAUAUUUGACUGCAGCUUGAGCUGAAGGACUAGGAAGGAGUGGGUUUAAAAAAAUCUCCUUCAUUGUAGAGCUCUCAUUAACCCUGGUCCUCCCCUGGACUGGCCUGUUUGCCUGCCUCCCCUGUUAUCUCCCUGAGGAAAAGCUGUGGAAAUACACCCGGAUCGAAAUGCCCCUGGCCCGCGUGACCCGACCCCAGGAGAAGCAGCCGAGUUACCAGACAUCGUGGUCAGCAGGAGCUGGGUCGGUGGCUGGGUGCUGCAGCUGCAGGGACUCAGCGCCUAGGAGGGCUCCUGUGCAAGGAGAGAAGCAGAGAUGCCACAUUUUUAAAGUUUCACAAAGCAUCCGGCUGCACCCAGGUCCCUGGAGCAGGAGACAAACAGAAUUAAUGUUUUAUACCUUCGGGUAUAGGUUUGAGUUUUUUCCCCCUCAUGCCAAGUAUUUAAAACCUCUAGAAACCCAUGAUUUGACAAUCAAUGAUUGCGCGAUACUUUCAAUUUGAAUAUUCAAAGGCUUAACAAAAUGGACUAUCUUCUGCAGAAAACCUGCACACAGGCACCCCACAGGGAGUCCAGAGAAACAGAGAGUGAGACCCCUUGGGGUCUUGGUCCUUGCUUUUGUUGUAUUUUGAGCAUUUUGUCCACCUUCCUACCGACAGAGCAGGCCUUCUCAAAGAUGCUCUGUAUUUCUGCCUCAAAGGCAGCUCAGGAGCUGGGGGUGACUUAGGCUGACCCCCCCAUGAUCACCUGAGCCAGGCCAGGUGGCCAGACUGACCCCCACCUCACCAAUCUCCUUUUUAAGGGAAAAUCUCAGGUUUGGGG